rnacentral:rRNA from 1 species
GACGAACGCUGGCGGCGUGCUUAACACAUGCAAGUCGAACGAAGUGGCGAACGGGUGAGUAACGCGUAAUCAACCUGCCCUUCAGCGGGGGACAACAGUUGGACACGACUGCUAAUACCGCAUACUGAAGGAGGGGCUUGCGUCUGUUUGGCUAGUUGGAGGGGUAACGGCCCACCAAGGCGAUGAUCAGUAGGCGGUCUGGGAGGAGGAACCGCCACAUUGGGACGGGGACACGGCCCAGACUCCUACGGGAAGCAGCAAGGGGGAAACUUCCGCAAUGGACGAAAGGCGGACGGGGCAACGCCGCGUGGGUGAUGACGGCCUUCGGGUUGGAAAGCUCUUUUAAUCGGGACGCGGUACCGGAAUAGAAAGCCACGGCUAACUACGUGCCAGCAGCCGCGGUAAUUC